rnacentral:rRNA from 1 species
GGGGAAUAUUGCACAAUGGGCGAAAGCCUGAUGCAGCAACGCCGCGUGAGUGAUGAAGGCCUUCGGGUUGUAAAGCUCUGUCUUCUGGGACGAUAAUGACGGUACCAGAGGAGGAAGCCACGGCUAACUACGUGCCAGCAGCCGCGGUAAUACGUAGGUGGCAAGCGUUGUCCGGAUUUACUGGGCGUAAAGGAUGCGUAGGCGGAUACUUAAGUCAGAUGUGAAAAUCCCGGGCUUAACUUGGGAACUGCAUUUGAAACUGGGUAUCUAGAGUGCGGGAGAGGACAGUGGAAUUCCUAGUGUAGCGGUGAAAUGCGUAGAGAUUAGGAAGAACACCAGUGGCGAAGGCGACUUUCUGGACCGUAACUGACGCUGAGGCAUGAAAGCGUGGGGAGCAAACA